rnacentral:rRNA from 1 species
GACAGAAGGUGCAAACGUUGCUCGGAAUCACUGGGCGUAAAGGGCGUGUAGGCGGGAAGGAAAGUCAGAUGUGAAAUCCCCAGGCUCAACCUGGGAACUGCAUUUGAAACUCCCUUUCUUGAGUACCGGAGAGGAAAGUGGAAUUCCUGGUGUAGAGGUGAAAUUCGUAGAUAUCAGGAGGAACACCAGUGGCGAAGGCGGCUUUCUGGACGGUAACUGACGCUGAGACGCGAAAGCGUGGGGAGCAAACAGG